rnacentral:lncRNA from 1 species
UUAAUAAUCCUGGAAAGGUCGGAGUUCACCAUCUUGGACCUUGGCAGCAGGUAACCCUUCUUCUUCUCACUGGGCUUAUCAAAGGACCCAUAAAUGGAGUCCAGUUUCUCAAAAGCAGACUUGGUCCAAAUCACAAAACGCCCAAGGUGACCACCGGGAGCGAGCUUAAGAAGGUUGAGCCUCUCAACAUUGGCCACCUCAACGCCAGGGACGUUACGGAAAGCCUUAACAGCUUUAGCUCCUUCUGUUCCGUAAACGAUUAGUGGACCCUUUCGGGAGAUGUAGCGACGGUUGCGCAUUUUUCCCUUUCCAGGACGAAUGCCGUGGCUGUCUUUCGCCUUCUCGGCGUCAGGGAAGGCGCCAAUCUGUUUCAGGACUUUGAUUGCUUCCUUGGUUUUCUCGACUCCUUCAGCAGAGUCGCUAAUAACGAGGGGGAGUUCCGGGACGGUCUCGAUGCGGUGGCCGCGGGCAAGGACGAGAGAAGGGAUGGCGGAGGCAGAGAUGGCAGAGACAACGGCGUAGCGCUUCUGGUUGACGUUGAUCUUGCGGUGCCAGCGGCGCCAGAUCUUGGUCGGAGCAAACAUGCGGCCACCUCGGCACAUGUUGCCGAAGGCUCCCUGGCCGGCACGGUGG